UGUGGGGAAGCCGUGCCCUACCUACAACAGUCAUCAGCAUGAAAGCCUCGCUAUCCCCACUGUAUAACCUGGCUGAUCCAAAACUCAUCUUACACUUUCGGUUGGUAAUUAGCUCUGAUAUCAAGUGUGACGCCCCAACUUUCCAUAGGGUCACCCAUCCUAGGACCACUCUAGUCCGAACACGCUUAACUCUCUUAACAUCUUGGGCCCUAGCCAUCCCAAAAUACUAUAGACGGAUUAAGAAGUUUAGUUAUAUUAUAUCUUAU
rnacentral:lncRNA from 1 species